rnacentral:tRNA from 1 species
UCCUCGUUAGCUCAGUUGGUAGAGCAUGCGGCUGUUAACCGCAGGGUCGUUGGUUCGAGCCCAACACGAGGAGCCA